UACGUAGGGUGCGAGCGUUAAUCGGAAUUACUGGGCGUAAAGUGUGCGCAGGCGGCCAAGCAAGUCGAGUGUGAAAGCCCCGGGCUUAACUUGGGAAUUGCGCUCGAAACUACUUUGCUGGAGUGUGGCAGAGGAAGGUGGAAUUCCACGUGUAGCGGUGAAAUGCGUAGAGAUGUGGAGGAACACCAAUGGCGAAGGCAGCCUUCUGGGCCAACACUGACGCUGAGGAGCGAAAGCGUGGGGAGCGAACAGG
rnacentral:rRNA from 1 species